UCCAGAGUAGCUCAAUGGUAGAGCGAGCGGCUGUUAACCGCUAGGUUGCUGGUUCGAGUCCAGCCUCUGGAGCCA
rnacentral:tRNA from 2 species